UACCCCUAAAGCAUAGCACUGAAGAUGCUAAGAUGUUGCUACUUGCACCCGAGGAC
rnacentral:tRNA from 1 species